UCAGUAGGACGUGAGAAGAUACCCAACCGUUGGACAGAAAAUAAGGUCGAGGUAACUGUCCGCUCAUCGCGGUGGGAACAAUACCGUCACGGCUGAAAGAGGUCGUAACGUGAGGCCAGCCGAGUUCAAACAGUCGUGAGUUAGUCUAAAUGUUAAAAGCCAGCUCGGUUGCAAAACAGGAAUUAAAAGUGACAACCAUAGCUGGCGUCGUCCACUUUUUGGUGACAUUUUCACUCCGCCGGUGAGAAGCUGUCAGCUGCCAGGGCUUUCCUCCUUCUCCUCCAGGAGCACAUUUUGUAUUGUUUUGUUUGUUUACUUAUUUAUUUAUUUAUUUGUUUGUUUUAAAAACACACACGUCAACAGUCGAGCCAGUUGUAGUAGUAUCUGUAUAAGCCGAGGAGAAGGAGGAGGAGGGAGAUCGCGGCUGGGUACAAAGAGCGGCGAGCACCCAGAGAGGAGGCUGGCGGACGGGACGGAGCGGAGCGGAGCGGCGAGGACAACAACGGGGACCCGACCGAGAGCAUCUUUGAGUAAUUUCUGAUCUACGCGAGCUCCACGAGUGAUUUUAAUUAGCGGAAUCCCUAACACCGUUUAUCGACCAAAAAGGACUUGUCCAGCAACAGCUGGUCCUCUCCAGAAAUACCUGCUCCUGAUCUGUUCACACCCCCCACCACCACCCUCAGGUCCUGCAGCCAUCACCUCCACUUUGUACCGAUGAAGGAGGCCGACGCCAUCAAGUUGUUUGUGGGGCAGAUUCCUCGGAAUCUGGAGGAGAAGGACCUCAAGCCCAUUUUUGAGCAAUUUGGCAAGAUCUACGAACUGACUGUAAUUAAGGAUAAAUACACCGGGAUGCACAAAGGAUGCGCGUUUCUGACGUAUUGCGCACGAGAGUCGGCCCUGAAAGCCCAGAGCGCUCUCCAUGAGCAGAAAACACUACCAGGGAUGAAUCGGCCGAUCCAAGUUAAACCAGCUGACAGUGAAGGCCGAGGAGAGGACAGGAAGUUGUUUGUGGGCAUGCUGGGAAAGCAGCAGAGUGAUGAGGAUGUCAGAAGGCUGUUUGAGCCCUUUGGCAGCAUAGAGGAGUGCACUGUUUUGAGAGGACCAGAUGGCACAAGCAAAGGGUGCGCCUUUGUGAAAUUCCAGGGUCAUGCCGAAGCCCAAGCUGCAAUCAGCAGCCUGCAUGGGAGCCGCACAAUGCCUGGAGCGUCGUCCAGUCUGGUGGUAAAGUUUGCUGACACGGAGAAGGAGCGGGGGCUGAGGAGGAUGCAGCAGGUGGCCUCCCAACUCGGCAUCUUCAGCCCCAUGACCCUCAACUUUCCUGCCUACAAUGCCUACACGCAGGCGGUCAACGCACAGCUUGUCCAACAGCAGGCCCUGGUUGCCCAGUCAGCGUACUUGUCUCCUGUCGCAACAGUUGCUGCUGUACAGAUGCAGCAGAUGGCGGCACUCAAUGCCAACGGAAUCAUCGCAACACCCAUUACACCUAUCACACCGUCCUCGGGUACAAACACUCCACCAACUAUCGCAGCAACACCUGUGUCAGCUAUCCCGCCAGCAUUAGGAGUGAAUGGUUACAGCAGCGUGCCAGCUCCCACCAAUGGACAGCAAACAGAAACACUGUACACCAAUGGAGUUCACCCAUACCAAGCCCAGAGUCCAGCUGCAGCUUUGGACCCUCUUCAGCAAGCCUAUGCAGGCAUGCAGCACUACACAGCGGCGUAUCCUGCUGCCUACGGAUUGGUUGGGCAGCCGUUUCCCCAGCAGCCGACACUGGUUGCUCAGCAACACCAGCAGCCCCAGCAACAGCAGCAAAGAGAAGGUCCAGAGGGGUGUAACAUCUUCAUCUACCACCUGCCACAGGAGUUCAGUGACUCUGAGAUGCUGCAGAUGUUCCUGCCCUUUGGCAAUGUCAUAUCGGCUAAAGUGUUCGUGGACCGAGCUACCAACCAGAGCAAAUGUUUUGGAUUUGUGAGUUUUGACAACCCUGCCAGCGCUCAGGCUGCUAUCCAGGCGAUGAAUGGCUUUCAGAUUGGCAUGAAAAGACUCAAAGUGCAGCUCAAAAGGCCCAAAGAUGCCAACCGCCCAUACUGAGUGACAGCGGAGAGAAGAACUAACAAAUACGGAGAGAUCCUCCCGUCCAAUCAUAUUUCACGAGGACCCCAUCGCUAUGGCAAUGGUUGCCUAGUGACCGAUAAAGCCCUGAUCCCCCCUUCCUCUCGCAUUGUUGCGACCUCUCAGAGUCCAACUGAAGGUGAAGUCCCAGGGUUCAUUGUGCUUUCAGACUGUCUUCUACCUGUGAGCGUCUGCAGAGAGCUGCCACACAAACACACACUGACGUACACAGAGAUACCCUUAAUUGUGAACCUCAAAGCUGAAAUGUAUAUAAAAUGCACAAGACAAACACAUGCCUGCUGACACUCACUCACACAGUUAACACAAAUUAGGUAUCCGUACAGCCAGAAGCUUGGUUUGACCAGUCUGUAUGGAAAAGGGUAUUUAGUACAACUAAGAGAACUCAGACCACAUGAGUAGGAAAGGCACUGAUAAAAAAAAAAACAAUGAUAUAUCACUUCAAUAGACUUUAACAUGUCUAUUCCAUGUCUAUUACAUGACAAAUAUAGAGGGAUUGUUGUUUCAUAAUAAAAAAGAAAGAAAAUACAAAAAAGACAGCUAAAUGAGUAGGUUAGAAAGACUUUGGAAAGGAUCCUUAUGAGCUGUAUAUAGUUUAGUUUACAAAGAGCAGCAUUUAAAAAAAAACAAGAAAACAUGCAAAAAAGAAUAAUACUUUAGAUAAAACACUGAACAGAACACUGCAACAUAACUAUUAUUAUCAUUAUUAUUCUUAUUAAUACAACUAGUAACAUCAUCAUUCUUCAUGAGAAAGCUAUUACAUUCCAAAUUGUAAAAUGGGGAAAUCACAAACCUAUUUUAAAUUUCUACUUAGAUUUUAGGUGAAACACAGGGGAGGGUGCGGGGUUGCACUUUUAUUCGGGAGGUUUUAAUAAUUGAGCUAUUUUUUAUUUAUUUAUUUACUAAUUUAACAAUUAUUUUGUUUAUCGGGAGAAAAUGUUUGAGUGGCAAUGCAAUAUUUUGGUUUUAGGAUUUUCUAGAGAAAAACUUUUGAGAGCCUGUUUCUGUCAGACUCUUACAAUCGAGUAAUUAUAAUGUAUCUAUUAACUAUUACAGCAAUUAUAUUUAUUUCUUAUUUAUUGAAUCCUGUUUUUUGAUCCACUCUUUUUAAGUUUAAAUAAAAGGUAUCAUACUAAA